rnacentral:rRNA from 1 species
GACAGAGGGGGCAAGCGUUGCUCGGAAUUACUGGGCGUAAAGGGCGCGUAGGCGGCCUUCUAAGUCGAACGUGAAAUCCCCGGGCUCAACCCGGGAACUGCGUCCGAUACUGGAAGGCUUGAAUCCGGGAGAGGGAUGCGGAAUUCCAGGUGUAGCGGUGAAAUGCGUAGAUAUCUGGAGGAACACCGGUGGCGAAGGCGGCAUCCUGGACCGGUAUUGACGCUGAGGCGCGAAAGCCAGGGGAGCAAACGGG